rnacentral:tRNA from 1 species
AAAUUUGAAAAGAGAAAAAGAUAGAAACGUGAAGAAUUCAGAAGAUUAGAAUUUGGGAGAACACAAAGAGU